rnacentral:rRNA from 1 species
GGUAAAGUGAGGGCAAGAGGCUGAUGGAAUAUGAAGUGGGCAUGCUGUAAUCGGGAUUACCGGGCGGAAAGCGUGCGCAGGCGGUUUUGUAAGUCUGUCGUGAAAUCCCGGGCUUAACCUGGGAAUGGCGAUGGAGACUGCAAGGCUAGAAUCUGGCAGAGGGGGGUAGAAUUCCACGUGUAGCAGUGAAAUGCGUAGAGAUGUGGAGGAACACCGAUGGCGAAGGCAGCCCCCUGGGUCAAGAUUGACGCUCAUGCACGAAAGCGUGGGGAGCAAACAGGAUUAGAUACCCCUGUAGUC